UACAGAGGUCCCAAGCGUUGUUCGGAUUCACUGGGCGUAAAGGGUGCGUAGGUGGUGAGGUAAGUCGGAUGUGAAAGCUCGGAGCUCAACUCCGAAAUGGCAUUGGAAACUACCUUGCUCGAGGGUUGGAGGGGGGACUGGAAUACUUGGUGUAGCAGUGAAAUGCGUAGAUAUCAAGUGGAACACCAGUGGCGAAGGCGAGUCCCUGGACAACUCCUGACACUGAGACACGAAAGCCAGGGGAGCAAACGGG
rnacentral:rRNA from 1 species